rnacentral:tRNA from 1 species
UCCCUGCUGACUCAGAGGGUAAAGUGUUUGCCUGCAAUAUGAGAAACCUGGGUUCUAUCCCCAGGUCGGGAA